rnacentral:tRNA from 1 species
UGGGGUGUGAGUCAGUUACAAAAUGCUUGUCUAAUAAGCAGGAGACCUUGGGUUCUAACCCCAACACCACAU